ensembl:snRNA U6 U6 spliceosomal RNA
UUGCUUUGGCAGCACAUAUACUAAAAUAGGAACGAUACAGAGAAGAUUAGCAUGGCCCCUAUGCGAGGAUGACAUGCAAAUUUGUGACGCAUUCCAUAUUUUU